GGAAACAAAAAGCUUCUCGUCUCCUAAAAUCAAAAAACAAAAUCCCUAAAAUUUGCCCAUUACGUUUAGCUAGUUGUUCAUCUUUCUCAUCUCUGUGCGUUCCUCUCUUCAUCGUUCUCAUCACGUUUAGCUAGUUGUUCUACGAUUGCUAUUACUAGGCGCCUCUCAGGUGUUGCGGAGGAAAUUAAAACAUAACAAUUGUUCAUCAGGUCAAGUUCUUUGUCUUACUCCCGGUACAAAACUCAGAAGGAAGGAAUAUUUUUAAAGUAAAAUAUGAGUACUACAGACAAACAUGAGAAAGAUAUCUUCAAUUUGGAAGGUGAAGUGAAAUUAGUGCUGAAUUACUUAGGAGAUUUCAAAUUAAGCGUGAAAAGGUAUUGGGUAAUACUAAACAAAGCAAAGGAGUUAUGACUAAGGUCCAAGGAACUAAUAUCAAGAAAAACAAGCCACCAACUACUGCAGUAGUUACAUCAAAACAUAAAGGGUUUGAUAACCAAAUCAGAGGGCGCAA